rnacentral:rRNA from 1 species
GAUGAACGCUGGCGGCGUGCCUAAUACAUGCAAGUCGAGCGAACAGACGAGGAGCUUGCUCCUCUGACGUUAGCGGCGGACGGGUGAGUAACACGUGGAUAACCCACCUAUAAGACUGGGAUAACUUCGGGAAACCGGAGCUAAUACCGGACAAUCUAUUGAACCGCAUGGUUCAAUAGUGAAAGACGGUUUUGCUGUCACUUCUAGAUGGAUCCGCGCCGCAUUAGCUAGUUGGUAGGCUAACGGCUUACCAAGGCGACGAUGCGUAGACGACCGGAGAGAGUGGUAGCCCACCUGGGAAGUGGGACGGCGUCCAUAGGCCUGCGGGAGGCACCAGUCGGGUACGGUCCGCAGUGGGGGGGAGUCUUGCGCAACGGGGGCGCGUGUGUGAUGAAGGUGUUGGGAGCGUAAUGCUCUGUUUCGAGUUGUGAACAACUGUGUACGUAGAUGUACGCUUCUUGACGGUAGCUGGACAAGAAGCCCCGGCUAACUACGUG